GUUGAACGGCCACAUUGGGACUGAGACACGGCCCAGACUCCUACGGGAGGCAGCAGUGGGGAAUAUUGCACAAUGGGGGAAACCCUGAUGCAGCGACGCCGCGUGGAGGAAGAAGGUCUUCGGAUUGUAAACUCCUGUUGUUGAGGAAGAUAAUGACGGUACUCAACAAGGAAGUGACGGCUAACUACGUGCCAGCAGCCGCGGUAAAACGUAGGUCACAAGCGUUGUCCGGAAUUACUGGGUGUAAAGGGAGCGCAGGCGGGAGAACAAGUUGGAAGUGAAAUCCAUGGGCUCAACCCAUGAACUGCUUUCAAAACUGUUUUUCUUGAGUAGUGCAGAGGUAGGCGGAAUUCCCGGUGUAGCGGUGGAAUGCGUAGAUAUCGGGAGGAACACCAGUGGCGAAGGCGGCCUACUGGGCACCAACUGACGCUGAGGCUCGAAAGUGUGGGUAGCAAACAGGAUUAGAUACCCUGGUAGUCCACACCGUAAACGAUGAUUACUAGGUGUUGGAGGAUUGACCCCUUCAGUGCCGCAGUUAACACAAUAAGUAAUCCACCUGGGGAGUACGACCGCAAGGUUGAAACUCAAAGGAAUUGACGGGGGCCCGCACAAGCAGUGGAGUAUGUGGUUUAAUUCGACGCAACGCGAAGAACCUUACCAAGUCUUGACAUCCCUUGACGAUGCUGGAAACAGUAUUUCUCUUCGGAGCAAGGAGACAGGUGGUGCAUGGUUGUCGUCAGCUCGUGUCGUGAGAUGUUGGGUUAAGUCCCGCAACGAGCGCAACCCUU
rnacentral:rRNA from 1 species